rnacentral:piRNA from 1 species
UAUUAUUUUGUGUAUAUGGUAUGUCUGU